rnacentral:siRNA from 1 species
AGGCAGCCUUGGAGCAUGUUCCAA